AGCGUAAGCGUUAAAAAAUAUAUAUUGUAGCGAAAAACGCGUGGGUCUAUAUCCUUUGUGUUAUUUUUAAGUACCUGAGAGUUUGUUAUUUGCGACAUAUAUUAUAGUAGUUUCUUCUUCGAAGGGCAAUAAAAUAUAGUUUUAUUUUUAUCAUAAUCUGAAAUAAAUAUUUCAUUAUCUUUAAUGUAACGAGGAAUCGGAGAACUUGUUAAAGAGAGGAUUUAAUUAAUGAAUUAUUUUAUUAAUUAUAAUCACGUAAGUGAGUUGAGGUGUUCAUUUGCAAUGUCCAUGGAGUUCGGGAUGCUUGUGAACUUUCCGCAAAUAGUCUCCCACAGAGUAACUCGGUGGGGAUCUUUGACGCAUAAGACGUACAUCCCUACUUCAUGCUACAUCUAGUCGUAAUAGUAAUCAGUUGGAAGUCGAAGACGAAAGAACGAAAGGAAGACGGAUAAAAUCGUCGUACUUUUUAAAAUACAGUGAUACUAUCACAGUGAUUGCAUCGUUCAGUGAAAUAAAUAAGAAAUAAUAUUUGAAAGAAUGAGAUUUUGGUUAACAAGUACAUUUCUAAAAAUUAUUCCCGCAGAAGUUUCUUUUUAUUAUAUAGUUGAUCAAAAUUCAGUUACAAUUUAAAAUAGACACAGUACGCUGACAUGCUCUUCCCUGUAUUAUUCUUGGCAUGACUGAAUCACUAGCACCUGGCUCGCGACGAAGCCAAAAUAGUCUACUACUUCGGCCAGCUUCCUCCGAAAUUACUGUGCUGACGAAGAAAUUACAGUGCAAGCAAAGAUGGUGAUUUAGAUUCAAAGAUAAAUAUAGAUCGUAGAACAGAAUAUCUUCUUGAUGAAUCAGUGUGUUCAUUUGAUCUCUUGAAAACUACUGUCAUUUCAUUUUUAAGGUUAUUUUAAAUUUAUUGAUAAUCAUAUUUUUGUAUCUUUUAUUAAAAAUUACAAUUUAUGAAUUGCGUUCAACAUAUAAAAAUCAUAUAGCUUAAAAAAUUUUUUUUAUUAAUUCCAAAAUAGAAGAGAAAAUUGUGUUUUUAAAAAAAUAUUUGUUUGAUUCGAAAUUUCUUUUAGCGUGAUUACACGAGAUCACUAAUUAAAUUUUAAACGUUAGAUUUAAAAAUAUAUAUAUAUUUAUUUAACGUAAAACACACAUAUAUUCGAGGGCAUGUGUCGUUAUUGCAUGUAUCAUUAAAAUAUAUAUACAUAUAUAUAUAUAUAUAUAUAUAUUUUAUAUAUAUAUAUAUAUAUAAUGUAAGUUUGUGACAAAUAACAUGUCUUAACGAUACAUGCAAUAGCGAUACAUGCCUUCAAGUCUUUAAAGAUCCUGAAAACAUAUAUGCGAUAAAUUUUGAGAUAUGUACAAAUUAUACAACACAAACUUAUAAUGUUUUAAUUUUAUUAAUUAAUAAAAUUUAAAAGAUACGUAUA